rnacentral:rRNA from 1 species
UACAGAGGUCCCGAGCGUUGUUCGGAUUCACUGGGCGUAAGGUGCGUAGGUGGCAUAGAAAGUUUGAUGUGAAAGCUCAGGGCUUAACCCUGAAAUGGCAUUGAAUACUGCUGUGCUGGAGGUUUGGAGGGGGACUGGAAUUCUUGGUGUAGCAGUGAAAUGCGUAGAUAUCAAGAGGAACACCAGUGGCGAAGGCGAGUCCCUGGACAACACCUGACACUGAGGCACGAAAGCUAGGGGAGCAAACAGG